AUUUGGCGGACGGGUGAGUAACGCGUAUGCAACAUACCUUGUGCAGGGGGAUAGCCCGUGGAAACGCGGAUUAAUAUUCCAUAGAUCAGUAACAUCGCAUGGUGUAACUGGUAAAGUUAAGGCGGCACAAGAUUGGCAUGCGUCUGAUUAGCUGGUUGGUAGGGUAACGGCCUACCAAGGCGACGAUCAGUAGGGGUUCUGAGAGGAUUAACCCCCACACUGGUACUGAGACACGGACCAGACUCCUACGGGAGGCAGCAGUGAGGAAUAUUGGUCAAUGAGCGGAAGCCUGAACCAGCCAUCCCGCGUGAAGGAAGAAGGCCCUACGGGUUGUAAACUUCUUUUCUGUUUGAAGAAUAAGCCCGUCGUGACGGGUGAUGCCGGUAGGACAGGAAUAAGCAUCGGCUUACUCCGUGCCAGCAGCCGCGGUAAUAAU
rnacentral:rRNA from 1 species